rnacentral:rRNA from 1 species
CAGUCGCCGCGGUAAUACAUAGGGUGCAAGCGUUAAUCGGAUUUACUGGGCGUAAAGGGCGCGUAGGUGGUUAUGUAAGUGAGAUGUGAAAUCCCCGGGCUCAACCUGGGAACUGCAUCUUAUACUGCGUAGCUGGAGUGCAGUAGAGGGUAGUGGAAUUUCCGGUGUAGCGGUGAAAUGCGUAGAUAUCGGAAGGAACACCAGUGGCGAAGGCGGCUACCUGGACUGACACUGACACUGAGGCGCGAAAGCGUGGGGAGCAAACAGGAUUAGAUACCCCAGUAGUCCCUGUCUCUUAUAA